rnacentral:rRNA from 1 species
GACAGAGGGUGCAACCGUUGUUCGGAAUUACUGGGCGUAAAGCGAGUUUAGGCGGUUUGGUAAGUCGGAUGUGAAAGCCCCGGGCUCAACCCGGGAAGUGCACUCGAUACUGCCAAGCUAGAGUAUCGGAGAGGUUGGUGGAAUUCUCGGUGUAGAGGUGAAAUUCGUAGAUAUCGAGAGGAACACCGGUGGCGAAGGCGGCCAACUGGACGAAUACUGACGCUGAGACUCGAAAGCGUGGGGAGCGAACAGG